UGCCAGCAGCCGCGGUAAUACGAAGGGACCUAGCGUAGUUCGGAAUUGCUGGGCUUAAAGAGCUCGUAGGUGGUUAGAAAAGUUAGUGGUGAAAUCCCAAGGCUUAACCUUGGAACUGCCACUAAAACUUUUUAACUAGAGUAUGAUAGAGGAAAGUGGAAUUUCUAGUGUGGAGGUGAAAUUCGUAGAUAUUAGAAAGAAUACCAAUUGCGAAGGCAGCUUUCUGGAUCAUUACUGACACUGAGGAACGAAAGCAUGGGUAGCGAAGAGGAUUAGAUA
rnacentral:rRNA from 1 species